GCGCUUGAGUUUUUAGUUUGUUUUUAUAUUGUUUUUUGUAAAAUAUUUUAAUUUUUUUUUAGUUUCUUAUGGUAUCAAAAAUUUGUUUUUUGAACUGGAUUAGUACCCAGGUAAUCAAAAUUUAAUAAUUCGGGAGUAAAGUUUUAUUUAAACCGAAAAAAUAUUGACUGACUUUAGAUUUUUCUUUGGAAUAUGUGAUUUGCUGGAGAGCCCUCUUUUUUGGUGAAUUUUGUUGGCACAUGUAUGAUUGUUUAGUUUUUAUUUUAUUUUGUAAUGCUUUAUUGUUUUGGCAUUAAAAACAGAUAUAUAUUUGGCUUAUGAAUUUAUGUUUCAUGUGUUACUAUUAUGAAUUUUUUUUGGAUUAGUUUUUUAUUUUUUUUUGAAAUUGGAAAAGAAAGUAAUUUUUUCUUAAUGUUUU
rnacentral:rRNA from 1 species